GGCGGAAUGCUUUACACAUGCAAGUCGAGCGGCAGCGCGGGGCAACCUGGCGGCGAGCGGCGGACGGGUGAGUAAUGCAUCGGAACAUGUCCAUUGAUGGGGGAUAGCCCGGCGAAAGCCGGAUUAAUACCGCAUGAGCCCGAGAGGGGAAAGUGGGGGACCGCAAGGCCUCACGUCGAUGGGUUGGCCGAUGCCCGAUUANCUAGUUGGUGAGGUAAUGGCUCACCAAGGCGAUGAUCGGUAGCUGGUCUGAGAGGAUGAUCAGCCACACUGGGACUGAGACNCGGCCCAGACUCCUACGGGAGGCANCAGUGGGGAAUUUUGGACAAUGGGGGCAACCCUGAUCCAGCCAUUCCGCGUGAGUGAAGAAGGCCUUCGGGUUGUAAAGCUCUUUUGUCCGGAGCGAAAAGGUUACGGUGAAUAUCCGUGACUACUGACGGUACCGGAAGAAUAANCACCGGCUAACUACGUGCC
rnacentral:rRNA from 1 species